UUUCUAAACCAACCCGGAUGUAAUAAUUCUGCCCACCGGUUAGUACCGGUUAGUUUUGUGGCGCUAGUCUAAUUUCCCCAUAGGGAACACUAAACAGAAAGAGAUGUAUAUUUCUUCGCCCAGCACCGGUCACUGAGUUCGCAAGCUGAAAUUGGCUAGUGAGUCACAGAAAUAUCUGCCACCCCAAGUAGUUCAGCUGUAGUCAUAGCAGUCCUCUGCUGUGGUAUUUCAUUUACCGGCUGCACCAGUUCCUACUUCACUUGCCUUGAAGGGAGAAACUUUUGAGGAUUCCCAAAUGGAUACAGAUCUGCAAUGCUCUCCACCACUGCCUGACAGCCUAUCAAGACUGACAAAGCAGAGAUGGGUGGGUGACAACUUAAAACACAACAUGCACACACACUCCCUCUCUGUCACACACCCAUUAUCCCCAAUGUAAAUACAUUGUAGUUACUUGUUUAUUUUAUGUAUGCUCCAGUUUAUUUGAGGAAAAUGUGUGCAAUAAAGUUUGUUCACAGUUAAA